UCUCUGUGAGCUCCUAGGCCAUCCAAAAAAAGGAAGGGAGGAAAAAAAGAAAGAAAGAAAGAAAGAAAGAAAGAAAGAAAGAAAGAAAGAGAAACUGUAAAGGAAAGAAACGGAACUGGUAGAGUUGGUUCAUUUUCAUCUUUGUAUUUAUCUUGAGAUGGGGCUGCCCACACUGGUCUCCAGCUUCAGGGCUCAAAUGGUUUUCUCCCUUCUCAGACUUACAGGCAGAAAGGAAGGUUAAUGCCAUCAUGUCUGACUAAUACAGUUGUAUGGGAAACAGUAUGAAGGAUAGAUAACCCAAAGACUUACCCAACCAUGAUGGCACACACCUAUAAUCCCGUACCAGGGAAGCCGAAGAAUUGCUUCUUCAACACCAGCCUGAGAUAAAUAGUGAGAUCCUGUCUCAAAACAAACAAACCAACCCACAAAUACUGCCUGAUCUCUCCAUAUGAAAGGUAGAGGGAGACAGGAAGGUUGGAAGCUCACAUUCAUCCUCGAGCUAUAUAAUUAGUUGAAGCCCAGCCUGGGAUACAUGAGACCCUGGAGAGAUAAAGUGAGCUCGGAGAAAAAGGGGAGAGGAAGGAAGAGCAGGCAGGACAGACAGAGCAGCCCACAAGAAUCUGAUGCCCAGCCCACAGCAGAUUCAGUAAACUCAGGCUCGGACAUUCUCCAGAGGUCAUCUUAUCCACAUGCAUGCCCUGUGUGGGACAUUCAGCACAAUUCAGAGACCCUUGCCCUGUAAUUUAGCUUACAUCUAAACAUGCUAUUUUCUUCAGUAUGGCAUCCAAGAUCUCUGGUAGCCCAUCCACAGGAAGACCAACAUCUAAACACACUGGAGUCUUCAUCAGGUCCUGAGUCCUCGAGUUUGUAGCAGGUUCUGAACCUAGAGUCUGCAGCAGGGUCCAAGCCCUCUGCAGCCUCCCCUGAUACCCAUCACCUCUUCCACGGGGCCCUUGUUGCCCCACAGCUCAGUGCCCCUCCUCUUUCCCGUCCUGAACCCUGCUCUGGCUGACUCCCAAGUAUCCAGAAAGCCCUCCUAACUCUCCAGGUGGGCCUGAUUCUUUUCUUCCUUUAUUUUGGAAGACUCCCUUCCUUUCUUCAUGCCCCAAGUCUGAUGGGUAGGAGACUCAAGAGUAGGUAACCACACGCUGAUAGCCAAGCUUGGGUUUUGCUGCACCAGCAUGGCAAAUGAUGCUUGUCUGUGUUCGGAUAAACAGCUAAAAGGGAUUGUUCCUUCUGCCUUGGCUGGUGGCUGCUUUGAUCUUAUUGGCCUCCCCACUUCUCCCUCUUAAACUUUAUGGGUUCUUCUUUUCUCCUCUUUCCCUUUCUCUGCUUUUUGUGAUCUGCUUGUCAGUUCGAGGCAGGGUUUCACCGUGUCACUCUGAUUGUCCUAGAACUUGCUGUGUAGACCAAGCUGGCCUCAAACUCACUAUGUAGCCAAGCUGACACUGAACCCCUGAGCCUCCUGACUGUAAAAGACUCUGCAUUUAUCGUCAGAAACAAAGGCUGAAUCCCUGUCUUUCGGUUCCUGAGAACUGCCCCACCCACUUCACUGGAGUUUGGAGCCUGCUGUGAGGUUGGCUCGCUGGCACUCGGGAACCCACACUUUUCUCACCAGCCUCUGAAUGAUGACUGCUAAGAGGCAUUGGUGCCUCCUCCAAGAGAUGGGAAGACUGGCAGUUCCCAAGAGAGACAAUUAUUACAGACCUCUCAAGCGUGGGAGGCUGAAGCAGGAUUAUGAGUUCAAGGCCAGCCUGAGCUAUACAGGAAACCUUGUCUCAACCCUCCCUCUCAGCCCCCUGAAAAAAGAAAAGAUUAAUCUCAAUACUUACAAUGCAGAGACAGGCAGUCUCUGUGAUGUUAAGGUCAGCUGUGUCUACACAGCGCGAGACAUUGUCAAAAAGAAAACAGAAAAGAAGCUAGCUUCCAGGCAAAACCUGGAAGUCUGUGGUGGUUGAAGUGGAAACUGUGGCUGUUGGGUUGGGGGAGGAAGAGGAAGGAGGAAGUCUGUGGCUGACACUAUCAAAUCCGAAAAGGCCUCACCAGCUGUGUGCUUAAGGGUCACACGGGGUGGUGGUACAUGCCCUCAAUCCCAGCACUCAGGAGGCAGAGGCAGGUGGAUCUUCAUGAGUUCAAGGCCAGCCUGGUCUACAGAGCGAGUUCCUGGACAGC